GACAGAGGGUGCAAACGUUGUUCGGAAUUACUGGGCGUAAAGCGUGUGUAGGCGGUCUCAUAAGUCGGAUGUGAAAGCCCCGGGCUCAACCCGGGAAGUGCAUUCGAAACUUCUGAGCUUGAGUUCUGGAGAGGAAGGCGGAAUUCUCGGUGUAGAGGUGAAAUUCGUAGAUAUCGAGAGGAACACCGGUGGCGAAGGCGGCCUUCUGGACAGUGACUGACGCUGAGACGCGAAAGCGUGGGGAGCAAACAGG
rnacentral:rRNA from 1 species